GAAAUGCGAUAAGUAAUGUGAAUUGCAGAAUUCAGUGAAUCAUCGAUUCUUUGAACGCACAUUGCGCCCCCUGGCAUUCCGGGGGGCAUGCCUGUUCGAGCGUCAUUACACCACUCAAGCCUGGCUUGGUAUUGAGCGCCGCGGCCUGCCCGCGCGCUCCAAUGUCUCCGGCUGAGCCGUCCGUCUCUAAGCGUUGUGAAUAGCGAUCGCUUGCGAGGCCCGGGCGGUUCGACGCCGUUAAACCCCCCAUUUUCUAUGGUUGACCUCGGAUCAGGUAGGGAUACCCGCUGAACUUAAGC
rnacentral:misc_RNA from 1 species